rnacentral:rRNA from 1 species
AGACCCGAAACCCGGUGAUCUAGCCAUGGGCAGGUUGAAGGUUGGGUAACACUAACUGGAGGACCGAACCGACUAAUGUUGAAAAAUUAGCGGAUGACCUGUGGCUGGGGGUGAAAGGCCAAUCAAACCGGGAGAUAGCUGGUUCUCCCCGAAAGCUAUUUAGGUAGCGCCUCGUGAAUUCAUCUCCGGGGGUAGAGCACUGUUUCGGCUAGGGGGCCAUCCCGGCUUACCAACCCGAUGCAAACUGCGAAUACCGGAGAAUGUUAUCACGGGAGACACACGGCGGGUGCUAACGUCCGUCGUGAAGAGGGAAACAACCCAGACCGCCAGCUAAGGUCCCAAAGUCAUGGUUAAGUGGGAAACGAUGUGGGAAGGCCCAGACAGCCAGGAUGUUGGCUUAGAAGCAGCCAUCAUUUAAAGAAAGCGUAAUAGCUCACUGGUCGAGUCGGCCUGCGCGGAAGAU